UGACGAUGUGUACGUUGGACAGAAAUGCAGAGGUUUGGCGAUGGCAGCGGCGGCUCUUAACGGGCCGACAAGCUGAACAACAAGACAGACGGAUACUAUUACUAUAGCACCUGUCGCCAUGCUUUUGUCCACUGCGUCAUUUUUCUGAUUCGACCACUGACUUAUCGGUUUUCGGUUACGGUCGCGGCAUAUGUAAUAUCCGACGAGAAAUGAU